UCUCCGUUGGUGAACCAGCGGAGGGAUCAUUACCGAGUUUACAACUCCCAAACCCCAUGUGAACAUACCUGUUUCGUUCCCUCGGCGGUGUCCGGCAACGGCCCGCCAGAGGACCCAACAAACUCUUUUGAAUUUUUCAGUAUCUUCUGAGUGAAAAAAACAAUAAAUCAAAACUUUCAACAACGGAUCUCUUGGUUCUGGCAUCGAUGAAGAACGCAGC
rnacentral:misc_RNA from 1 species